rnacentral:rRNA from 1 species
UACGAAGGGGGCUAGCGUUGCUCGGAAUUACUGGGCGUAAAGCGCACGUAGGCGGCUUCUAAGUCGGGGUGAAAUCCUGGAGCUCAACUCCAGACUGCCUUCGACUACUGGAGAGCUCGAGUCCGGGAGAGGUGAGUGGAACUGCGAGUGUAGAGGUGAAAUUCGUAGAUAUUCGCAAGAACACCAGUGGCGAAGGCGGCUCACUGGCCCGGUACUGACGCUGAGGUGCGAAAGCGUGGGGAGCAAACAGG